rnacentral:tRNA from 1 species
GCCUUCUUAGCUCAGUGGGAGAGCGCGCCACUCGUAUCCUCGACAUGGUGAGGUCACUAGUUCAAUCCUGGUAGGAGGCA